rnacentral:rRNA from 1 species
UACGUAGGGUGCAAGCGUUGUCCGGAAUUAUUGGGCGUAAAGAGCUCGUAGGCGGUUUGUCGCGUCGACUGUGAAAACCCGAGGCUUAACCUCGGGCCUGCAGUCGAUACGGGCAGACUAGAGUUCGGUAGGGGAGACUGGAAUUCCUGGUGUAGCGGUGAAAUGCGCAGAUAUCAGGAGGAACACCGGUGGCGAAGGCGGGUCUCUAGUACGGUACUGACGCUGAGACGCGAAAGCGUGGGGAGCGAUCCGG